UACGUAGGGUGCGAGCGUUAAUCGGAAUUACUGGGCGUAAAGCGUGCGCAGGCGGGUGGGCAAGACAGGUGUGAAAUCCCCGGGCUUAACCUGGGAACUGCACUUGUGACUGCACGGCUGGAGUACGGCAGAGGGGGAUGGAAUUCCGCGUGUAGCAGUGAAAUGCGUAGAUAUCGAGAGGAACACCAGUGGCGAAGGCGAGUCUCUGGACGACUCCUGACACUGAGGCACGAAAGCUAGGGGAGCAAACAGG
rnacentral:rRNA from 1 species